AAACACCCACUGUAGCUAAGAAAGAGUCCUUAACUAAGAGGAUUAAGGAUUGAGUCCUUAAUGUGCUGGCACCAAUUAUCUCUUCUCUUCACUUCACCAUGGCUGCUUCAGCUUCUUCUCUAGCUCUCUCUCUACCUUCACCCCCAAGUCCCUUCCUUUCUCCAUCUCCAGACCCGCCUCCGCUUCCCUCUCCUUCAAACUCCACUUCGAGUCCUCCGCUUCCCUCUCCGUCUCCAUCUCCGCCGUCGCGUUGAGACGAUUCGAUUAUCUCCGUCACACGCUGUCGAUUUCUUCCCGCCGCCACUGAAUGGGUGAAAGGCAAAGCUAUGGAGGAAGUCCUGACCAUCAAGAACACUGAAAUUGCGAAGCAUCUUUCUCUCCCACAAGUGAAGCUCCACUGCAGUAUGUUGGCGGAGGACGCCAUCAAGGCAGCUGUGAAGG